UGCCAGCCGCCGCGGUAAGACAGAGGGUGCAAGCGUUGUUCGGAUUUACUGGGCGUAAAGCGCGCGUAGGCGGCCAAGUAAGUCAGAUGUGAAAUCCCGGGGCUCAACCCCGGAACUGCAUCUGAAACUGCUUGGCUUGAGUCCCGGAGAGGGUGGUGGAAUUCCUGGUGUAGAGGUGAAAUUCGUAGAUAUCAGGAGGAACAUCGGUGGCGAAGGCGACCACCUGGACGGAGACUGACGCUGAGGUGCGAAAGCGUGGGGAGCGAACAGGAUUAGAUA
rnacentral:rRNA from 1 species